rnacentral:rRNA from 1 species
GCCCGAUCUCGUCUGAUCUCGGAAGCUAAGCAGGGUCGGCCCUGGUUAGUACUUGGAUGG